GAUUUAUUAUAGUUAAUCUUAAAAUUAGAUAAUUGGCUAAAUGUAUUUAUAAGAUCCAUUAAAUUGGGUAGAGUAAUAUACGGUAGUGUUAUAUAGAACAAAAGAUCAUCAGCGAACGCUGAAACUUUAUGUUCCAUGUUAGAGAUAUUAAUUCCUUUAAUAUUCUUAUUUUGUCUAAUUGCUAUCAACAAUGUUUCAAUCGUUAAGACAAACAAAAGGGGUGACAAUGGACAUCCUUGUCUGGUACCAUUUUUGAUUAAGAAUUUGUCCGAUAAUGAGUCGUUAAUUCUUAUUUUGGCAUUUGGAUUUUGAUAUAGUGACAUUAUUUUCUCAAUUAAAAUAUUACCAAACCCCAUUGUAUAUAGUACAUUCUCCAUAAAUAACCAAUCAAUCCUAUCAAAUGCUUUUUCAGCAUCCAUUGAUAUAAUUAGGGCUUCCUUGUUUCUGUUUUUCAUGACCUUUAUUAUAUUAAGUGUUCUGACUGUAUUAUUUUUUCCUUCUCUUCCAGGUAUGAAUCCGGAUUGAUCAGGAUGUAUUAAGGUUGCGUGCCCCCAUUGAAAUCAAAUAUCCUCUCAUUGUGCAUUUAUGUGCUUCCCAUCUUAUAUGCUGUGACGUGUCUUGUUCUGAGUUUUCAAUAAAAAAUAAUUUUAAUUUUUCCAAUA